rnacentral:rRNA from 1 species
AUGGAUUGUCUCAUCACGUGGGAUUUCUCCUAUGGCCAGAAGGUGGCCGCACAGGUGCGUCGACGUUUUAGAUCUCCGGUUCAUUUCGAUGGACCUCCCUCGAAAUUGGCUUUCUUCUUGGUUGCGGCAUUCAACUACUCUUCCUUCCGGCUGGAUGUCGACUCAGUUGCCAUGGCUUUGUGUUCUUUCUUGGGCGGAAACAUUAAGAAAUUUGAUGUGCAGUUAUUGAGUGAUAAGAGAUUCAGAUUCUCAGUCGCAUCAAACUAUGUGGGACAUUUCAUUCAUUCUCUUAAGGGCUUCUCAGUACCAGAUUUCUCUUGUUCAUUUCAUCUGUACCGUGGUUGCCCGCUGGUGGAAACCCCGGUGUAUGAUGGUAUUGAUGAUCCUCUCUAG